GAUUUUAUAGCUUAAAUUAAAGCGAAGCUUUGAAGGGGCUGAGAAAAAAUGAAUAUAUAUUUUUAAAAUCA
rnacentral:tRNA from 1 species